GGGCAGAGUAGAAGCAGUCGACCAAUCAGCGUUUAAAUUGAGGAUGUUUGUGGGCGAGCAGCGAAGGACGAAAGAAGAAACUCUGAAUAGUGACAAAAAAAACCCCACAAACAAACCCGUUAUUAUCAUUUUAGGUAUUUCUUUUCGUCACUUUGGUUCGUCAAUUCCAUAAAGAACAUAUUUACUGAACAAGUUUGGACAUUCGGACACAUUUUGGAGCAGUUUGGACACCAAACGCACCUGCGUAUCACGAACGCUGAGUGCCGCGCUGCUCUUGGCCUUGCCCAUGGUGAACCUGACCGUGCCGCUCAUGUCUGCGCUCGUGUUUCUCAGCGUGAGCUUGUGAGUCACCCUGUGGCUCUCCAGCCGCACACAUGGACCCGAGCGAAGAGUCUCUCCAUUCAAAGUCCAGGCGGGAGGUUUCUCUAUCUCCAGAGACACCUCGCACUGGAAACAUGCUGACUCAUGCUCGCUCACCUCCACGUCCUCCAGCUCUUUGACCAUCACGAGCGCCUGGGCUGCAGCGGCAUCAUGGGAAAGAUUUACAGAACAAUUAUUCAUAAAUAAAUAUAUCAAAUAUUGGCACUUUGUUCACAGCUCACUCUCACUAAAAUCGAUACCAGCUUGUCUAUGAUAUCUUAAGAACAUAUGUUCACAUCUUUAUCUCACUGUCAGACAGACUUUUACAACAGGAAACUGAAGUUUGUAAAGCACUCACUCUCAGUUUUCAGCUGGAGAAGUCUGUCUUACAGUGAGAUAAAGAUGUGAACAUAUCUUUUAAAUAUCAUGUUUAUGUGUCAAUAGCUCAUACAGCCACACUUACUGUAUAUAUAUAAACCUUCACUGUUCGUUUAAACUAAGCAGCCAUCUUACCUUCCACCAUCAGCUUGGCCUGGCACGUGUGCUCCCCAACCUCGAUGCUGUAGCUGCCCUCGUCCUCUACCGCCACCUGCUGGAUCACCAGCUUAUGCGAGCAGUCGUCCACCAGCAUGUCCACGCGCUCCGAAGGAGCCAGCUCCUCCCCGUCUUUGUACCAGGUGACGUCGCAGCGAGGCGACGACACGGUGCACUCCAGGAUCACGCGGUGUUUCUCCAGUGCCGUUCGGUCUCGCAGAGGUUUGACGAUGGACACCGGAAGCUCUGGAAGAUCACGAGAGAGAUUGGAAAAGGCACAAUGAAGUGGAAAAUGUGCAAAAUGAACAGUAAAACCAACUCACCUUCCACUUCGAGUGCGGAUCCUGAUGGUGCUGCUGGGUCGGAUCUUGUGACCGUCCUUGUACCACUCUGCUGUCACGUCGUCCAGGGACACCUCGCACAUGAAGACGGCGUUCUGGUCCUCCUGAAUGUAAAGAUCCUCCAUAUCUUGAAGGAUCUUUAAUGCAUGCUCUGAAAGAGAUUUAGAUGGAAAACACUGGGUGCCAGAGUCGCCACGGGAACACUGCAUGAUCUGACAGAACCGCUUCCGACCCAUGGAGUAGAUGCGGCAGUUCUUCCCUGGCUUCAGCUCGGUGCCGUUCUUUUUCACAGAAGAAAAAAAAAGGACAAAGAUCCUGGAUCACCGUUGAAAGGCAACCCCCCUCCCCCCCUGCUCAGUGAGAGUCAAAGAAAGUCAGGGGAAAAAAAUCAGAUCUUCCAUUCAGAAGUGGAGGUUUGCGGUGUCUUGGUCGCGUUCCAUCUGCGAGGCGUCAGGACGCAGGAAAUGACCACAGUCUAAGUUUUCUUUGUUGAAGAUGAACUUGACGUCGGCCUCGGAGUGCGACAGACACUGUUUCUCCAGAGAUUCUGCCAGACGAGGUGGACCACACAGGAACACGCCCACUUUACUCCUGAGGACACACACACACACACACAC